UUUCCGUAGGUGAACCUGCGGAAGGAUCAUUACUGAACUGUCAACAUGAGUUGUUGCUGGCCCUCAAAUGGGGGCAUGUGCACGCUCUGUUUACACAUCCACUCACACCUGUGCACCCUCUGUAGUUCUAUGGCGUGGGGGCCCUGCCCUCCUGCUGUGGUUCUAUGUCUUUACACACACACACUGUGAUGAAGUCUCAUGGAAUGUACAUCGCGUUUAACGCAAUACAAUACAACUUUCAGCAACGGAUCUCUUGGCUCUCGCAUCGAUGAAGAACGCAGCGAAAUGCGAUAAGUAGUGUGAAUUGCAGAAUUCAGUGAAUCAUCGAAUCUUUGAACGCACCUUGCGCCCUUUGGCUAUUCCGAAGGGCAUGCCUGUUUGAGUAUCAUGAACACCUCAACUCUCAUGGUUUGCCAUGAUGAGCUUGGACUUUGGGGGUCUUGCUGGCCUACGGUCAGCUCCUCUUAAAUGAAUCAGCUUGCCAGUGUUUGGUGGCAUCGCAGGUGUGAUAACUAUCUACGCUUGUGGUUUUCCAUCAAGUAACCUUCAGCAAUGGAGGUUCACUGGGGCUCAUAAA
rnacentral:rRNA from 1 species